rnacentral:rRNA from 1 species
UACGGGGGGAGCAAGCGUUGUUCGGAUUUACUGGGCGUAAAGGGCGCGUAGGCGGCCAGCACAAGUCAGUUGUGAAAUCUCCGAGCUUAACUCGGAACGGUCAACUGAUACUGUGCGGCUAGAGUGCGGAAGGGGCAACUGGAAUUCUUGGUGUAGCGGUGAAAUGCGUAGAUAUCAAGAGGAACACCUGCGGCGAAGGCGGGUUGCUGGGCCGACACUGACGCUGAGGAGCGAAAGCGUGGGGAGCGAACAGG